CUUACCCCCGAGUGCCCCUCAAAAAACCCUAAUUCUUCCUCCACAAAUCUGACCUCGCCGCCUCUCCUGCUCCUCUUUUUCGCUGGAUUCAUGACUUCCUCUAAGUUCAUCCUUGUGAUUCUGCGGUUUUACAUCUGUUUCCUCCUGAAAUUAGUAGUACAUACAAUGCUUGAUGAGACUUCGAAGGAGAAUUGGAAGAUAUAGUUAGCAGUGGUAGAAUUUGGGGCAAACCUGCAAAGAUGGUUAAUUUGUGGAUAUAUAGGUAAAUAACCCUGUUUUACUUUUUUGAACUUUUAUUUUUGAAAUAUGGUUAUGUGCAGAAAUUCGUUCCAAAAAAACACCCAGGAAGCUAACAAAAAGGCACCAGAAGACAAUCGCAUUGAUAAGGAGCUGCUAGCGAGGCUCAACAAUGCAAAGUUUCGGAGGAAGCCUAAGGACAAGAGAAAAUGUAUUAUCAUUCGACAAUGUAGAGUUUUUGCUGCUACGGGAGAGAAGUACUUUAUGAAAGUGGUCAUUCGAAACUUGAUGUCCAGCACGCGUGAUGGUGUUCAUAGUUCUAACUUAGCUGCUGGCUUAACACAAGACAACUCUGUUGAAAUAAAAUAAUUAGCUACUUGGUUGGUGUCAUGAAAAUUCCCUCUAGCAGUUCUUCGGUCGCUGCAUCCUCCUCCAUCUCAGACAUCCAAGCUCGCUGCUGGUGAAGGUAUUUUCUCUGACCUUCUCUGAAGCUGACAGGCUGAUCCUGUAUUGCUCUAUAGGAUCCCUUGUUUACUGUUUCACAAGCACUAGAUGUCUGGAGUUCAGAACGAGGAUGCUUUUUUGUUAAUUUACCGCAUCAAAAUGUUGGAGUUUGAGGACUUCCCCUAUUAGUCUCUUCUCUAGUAAACUAAUACAGUCAUGUUGUGCUUCAGAUUCCUUUCUACACCAUUCUCCAAUCUUUCCUUGCUGUUUUUACAUCUGAACACCUUGUGUCCAUGACCUGCUCAGAAAUAUGGUUGCCCUUUCAUAAUUUGAUUUUAUGUUAUUGUAUAGUUCAUUGUGUUC